CUCUCUGCCAUGAACAGCAGACCCCUGCAAGAGGUCUACGUGGAAAUAGUCGUUGAGGAUAAACAACUGUUCACGGCUGACAGCCAUCACCGAUCAGCCCCGACAGGGCUCCCUUCUCCUACUUCCUGGAAUUGUAUUCCUUGGCUGGGAGAGGAGCAGAUGGUGUAAGUUCAUUUGCAGCUUUGGAAUGAAGGCUUUCCCCUCUCCCACCUUUUUAAAUAGAAAAACGAAUGGAUUCCACACGGUCUGCUGCCCAAGUCUCUGCUAAAUUUUAUCAAGCCUUUGUAUGGUUCGCAUGUCGCCUCGUGAUCCAGAUCUCAGUCAUAAACAAAUAAGCCUAUCGGAACCUCUGAUCCUUUCCUUCCCAGAAAUCGGAUGAGUCACCAGCUCCUCAACCUCCCACUUGCAGAAGCCAGUGAGAGCGGAGCUAACCGGACUCUGCCCUGAGGGAGAAGCAGCUUGACCGUGAAAACAGAUAGAGGAAAUUCCCUGGAGGUCCAAUGGUUAGGAUUCCUCGAUUUCACUGCCAAUGACGUGAGUUUGGUCCCUGGUCAAGGAGACCCUACAAGCCACACAGCCAAAAAAAUGAAAUGAGGACUUCCCUGGUGGUCCAGUGGUUAAGAAUCAGCCUUGCAAUGCAGGGGAUACCGAUUCAGCCCCUGGUUGGGGAAGAUCCCACAUGCCACAGAGCAACUAAGCCCAUGCGCCACAACUUCUGGAGCCCUUGACCUGCAACUACUGAGCCCACGUGCCCAGAGCCGGUGCUCUACAACAAGAGUAGCCACUGCAGUGAGAAACGCACACACCAAAACUAGAGAGUAGCCCCCAAUCUCUACAACUAGAGAAAGCCCAUACACAGCAAUGAAGACCCAGCACAGCCAUAAAUAAACAAAUAUUUUUUAAAAUUAAAAAUGAAAUGAAAUGAAAAUUAAAAGAAAGCAAACUCUGUCACAGGAGCUAUAUGGCAGAGCCACGAGGCUAAGGCCCAGGCUUUCUAACCAUAGGACCAGGAUGGGGGUCCUCUUGGAGCUGAGGAAUAUAGAGUGAUUGCAAAGAGAAGGGAAAUUGAGAAAGGGAUCACAUAAAGUUGUGCGUAAAGUCCUGGACUCAAGCCCAAGCCCACAUAUAUGGCCUUGACUCUAAAGAGUCAAUACUGAAGAUUUUGACGGCUAAGCUACGGAGCACAACGCUGUCUAGCGUGCAGAUUGGCUCCCGGGUGGCCCACACAUGGAGCAGAUCUGAAUAGCACUGCAAAAUAUUUCAAAACUAAACUGAUAUUGGAACCACAGCCUACAAAAGGAGAGGUCAGAACUUGGUGUCUAAACCUACCUGAAAGAAACAAACAAAAAAAAUUAACAUUUUCCAUAGAAUCUAAGCAAGACUCAGAGUCUGAUAACAUAACAGUCAAAUGUCCAGGAUAUAACAUGCCUUGGCAUAUGAAGAACCAAGAAAAUCACAAUAACUCACAAGGGAAAAGACAAUCCAUAGAUACCAACCCUAAGGUGACCAAGGUGUUGGAAAUGUCAGAAAACACUCUAAAACAGAUAGUAUAAUCAUGC
ensembl:lncRNA